rnacentral:lncRNA from 1 species
AUGUGUUUGAUUUACAGCCUUUUCAGAUUGUUCACAUUGUUGCUGUGAUAUGUGGCACUUCCAGGAAGAGCAGUACUGCACCAGGAAAGCUCGAUAAAGCCCCAGCGUUACAACGUCACCUUGAGAGGAACUGGGCAAAUAAAGUAAUGACUGCGUGUUUCAGUAACUUCUUCCUAAUAUUUAUGGGUCAGGUUGUCAGACAUGAACAGCAGGGUCAGCCAACUUCUUUUCUACGUAUCAGAUGAAGAGGAUGAGAGGAAGCAGUUUCAACAGUUAUUCUACCACACCACUGGGAUCUAGGCUGGUUACAGCACUAGCAGUCGUUUCUGACCUGUUUCCAGUCAAGGAUUUUGGCUGUUGCAGCAUUUGUAGAAUGAAGAUGAAUGCAGAAAUGGUGGAACCUAUUCUUACUGAUUCACUGAACAAGAAAGAAAAUAAAAUGUAAAGGCUGGAGAAGCUGAGGAGAAAAAAAAUCUGGUAGUUUCUCAGGUGAAUAUG